rnacentral:ncRNA from 1 species
UAAAAGUUUUAUUCUUGCUUGGGAAUUUAUUUUUUCUUUAUAUUAUAUGUAAGGUUUAUUCUAAAUGUUCUUUAGGGCAGUGAUUUUAUUUAUUUAUCAAGUUAUUUUGGAAUUAGUAUUGAUUAAAGUAUUGGUUAAUUUCGUGCCAGCUACUGCGGUUAUUCGAUUGAUGCAAAUGAAUUUUUUUGGUUAAGUAGUUAUAUUUUAUUUGAAUUUAAUUAAUUAAUUUUUGGGUGAAAUUUUAAUUUCUUUUUAGUUCUAAUUAUGAUUCUAUUAAUAUCAGAUUAAAAACUAGGAUUAGAUACCCUAUUAUUUUGAAUGUAAAUUUUAUACCUGGGUAGUAAUAGUUAAAUCUUUAAACCUAAAGAAUUUGGCGGUAUUCUAUUCUUUUCAGAGGAACCUGUUCCGUAAUUGAUAAUUCACGAUUUACUUGACUUUGUUUAAUUGUUUGUAUAUCUCCGUUAUCAGAAUAUCUUUUUAGAGAAUAAAUUUUCAAUUUUUUUUAUUAAAAUUUAUUUCAGGUCAAGUUGCAGCUUAUAACAGAGAGGAAAUGGGUUACAAUAAUUAUUUAUUAUACAGUUAUUAACAUUGAAUAAUGAUGUUUAAGGUGGAUUUGAUAGUAAUUUAAUUUAUUUAAAUUUAGUGAUGUAAGCUCUAGGGUGUGUACAUAUUGCCCGUCACUCUCACUAUUUUUAAUUGAGAUAAGUCGUAACAUAGUAGAUGUACUGGAAAGUGUAUCUAGAAAGAUA